AUCUGGAAAACUGGUCACUCUCCAGGCUUCUGCAGAGCUUGUAAAUUGAUGCUGAAUUCUUUGGUGCAAUAAACCUUUUAAUAAUCAAGAAACAGUGU